GCGGUACAAAGGGCUGCGAACCCGCGAGGGGGAGCGAAUCCCAAAAAGCCGCUCUCAGUUCGGAUUGCAGGCUGCAACUCGCCUGCAUGAAGCCGGAAUCGCUAGUAAUCGCGGAUCAGCAUGCCGCGGUGAAUACGUUCCCGGGCCUUGUACACACCGCCCGUCACACCACGAGAGCUUGCAACACCCGAAGUCGGUGAGGUAACCCUUACGGGAGCCAGCCGCCGAAGGUGGGGCAAGUGAUUGGGGUGAAGUCGUAACAAGGUAGCCGUACCGGAAGGUGCGGCUGGAUCACCUCCUUUCUAAGGA
rnacentral:rRNA from 1 species